rnacentral:tRNA from 1 species
CGGGUAAUAGCUCAGUGGUGGAGCACGUGCUUAGCAUGCACGAGGUUCUGGGUUCAAUCCUCAGUACCUCCA